rnacentral:tRNA from 1 species
GGGGCUGUGGCUCAGUGGUAGUACACUUGCUUUGCAUGCAGAAGGCCCCAGGUUCAGUCCUUGCCAACUUCA